CCCCCCGGAGUUGGCCGCUUCCUCCAGGGCGCGCUCGAGCCCGCGGUUCAAGGGCAGGUUGAAGACCCCGCCGCCGCCGCCGCCUCCCCCGACCCCGCCGCUGGACCCGGUUCCUGCGUGGGUGUUUUAGGGAAGAAGAGAUUUUAGGGGGUCUGAGAAGACGGCGGCGAGGCAAUAGAUGGGAUUUGAAAUACGGUGAGAUCACGGGAGGCGAAAGAUUAUCUCAACUAUGCGAACUGUAUCAGGCUUUUUGACCCAGCGAUCCCCAAGACAGUUUUUCACUGUAGGGGUAAGCCAGCAGACGACCCCUGGCAUUUGGGCGCCGACAAUGAGCCAACGCUGGUCUGGUUAGUCUACAUUAUCACAUGAAUCCAGGAGCCCCAUGAGAGGAAAAAUUGUUUCCCCUAGUCUCUAGAGGAAAUUAAGAAACUUGUCUAAAGCAAGCCACGCAACUCAGAGGUCAAGCUGGAUUUGAACUUGUAGCCCUCCACUCUAGGGCUGCCCUCCUUCCUGUAAAGUCCCUGGCAGAACCCCAGAGCAAACAGAAGUUGGGCAGAAGGGUCCCUGAGCGUUUCUGAAGUAUGAAACCAGACACAGACCGGAAGAACUUUCAAAAUGAGGGGAGUUUUUGUGGUCGACGGUGUCCACUGUCAUAAAAGAGAGGGGCUGGCUAUUAACUGACUAAGCCCCGGAAUUGAGUGGUGCAAGGAACGGUUAGAAGUUUGCGCCUGCGCACAGGUACUGUCCGUGUGUCCUCGUGCACCUUCUUGACUUCUGGGGCCUGGGAACCGACAUGGCCACUUGCAUACUUUGCCCAGACCAAGGCUGGCACACCAGAGGCGACAGAAUAUCUGACACCAUACAGCAGACCAGCUGGAAGAUUGAGAAAGUCCCACUGCUUUCCGAAGUUUCCGCUCCAACUUUCUAGGGCCUUUAUUUUUGUUCGAUAUCCAUGGUUUGAUCAUCACUGAACAAUUUAGCUAAGGGAAAUGAGAAUGCGAGUCAAGUUCGAAAAUAAUACGACCUUCGAUGUAGGAGGGCCGGUCUUUUAAGUGAUAAAGCGGAAAGUUGACGCCUGGAUAACAGGCUAGAACUUUUGAUUUCAUGGAUUUAAGAUCUUUCUUUCCUAAAAUCUGCAUAAUCUAUAUCCUUGCUUUGAUUGCAUGCAUAGUCUACCUUAAUUCAUGCAGGAUUCUCGGCUGAGAAUAAAACAUUGUAAUCUCCGCGGAGGAGACAGGCGCCACCUGCUGGUAUCCGUCGAACCUCUCACACCAACCCCUUUUCCCCUCAGCCUUCCCAACUUUUAAAAACUAGGUUUAAAGAUUAAUAUUAAUAUUAGUAAAUGAAAGUACACUUAACAUCACUUAUUCAAACUAACCUUCUUUCCUCUUUCCUCUUUCCUCACUGGUCUUUCCCCAAAAGGCGAGUGAGAAAGAGACAGAAACAAAUUCCAGCUAAAACCAGCCUGUGUGACCAGCAUGCAGGGUAUGAUUGAGGAUGUCUGACAGACUGAAAAGUUACUUCAGACCACCAAUUGUGGCAUCGUAAGAGCAUGUAUUUUAUUUUUUAGAUACCACAAUUUAUUCUUUAGAGAAAAUGAUGGAAUAUGACUUCAGGAUUUGCUUCAUAACAAAUGAUCAAUCCUUACAUUAUGUUGACCCAGUCAAUACAGCUCCCUUUACCUUCUACAGAUUACUAAAGUAUGAACUCCUUAAGGGAGGAAAAUAUUCAUCUUUGUAACUCCCUCCCGUAUCCCAGAAUCUAGAAGAGUACUUUGUACAUGACGAGGGCACAAUGAAUAUUAGCAAUUAAACACUGCACAAUAGACCAAGGGCUUUACAGGUUGCCAUUUGUUGGUACAUCCUUGAAAUGAUGUCCCUGAACAAAGGCGUAUUUCUUUAAAAUGGGGGAGAGUAGUUGACCCUUGAUACUGACUGAUCUUUAUUAUGUCUAAAUAUUCAAGAAACUUGACAAGCCAUUUUUUCUGUCUUGCUUCUUCACUACUUUUUCAACGAGGUGGACAUCUCUGCUUUGUUUAAUACCCUUUUUUACUUCUUCUGAAAACAGUAGAAAGUACUUCUUCCUGUUCCACAUUCCCCACUCCGUAUAUUUACUUCUCUGAUAGCAGGUAUGCUAUUACAUCCACUCAGCUAGCCAUCUUGGUUAGUCCAAAAGUGGACUUCUGACCAAAUGAUAGAGCACCCAGAGGAACAGAGUCUCCUGUUUGUGUUUAAAUCCUAGAUUCUAGCUGUUCCUCAUUGGCAACUUUGAUUUCUAUGAGAUAUCCAAUAUAUUUAUAACACACUUUCUGUCUGCUUAAGUCAGUUUUAUUUGAUUUUCUGUCAAUGCAGCCAAGAGUUCUAACUAAUAUAUUCAAUUUACCAUAGCUUUUUAUCAUUGCUUUUUUUUAACUAUGGUUUAAAAAAAUACCAUAAUUUUUAUACCCCCUUGUUUUCUUUUAUUGCCUUAUUUUCAGAUAAUCCACAUAAUCUUUUUACAAACUAUUUUUUUCAUGCUUUCUUCUCGUUACCUUCCAACCAUUUCACAAAGUUAACAAAAUUCAACUGAUUCAUAAAAUGGGGGAAAUAGAAAUAUUCUCAGUUUAAAAUAUUGACAAUUAGGGAAAAAUUAUCAGCUUCAUCAAUGAAUCAAAAAAUCUCAGAACUUAUUUUUUUAAUCUUCUUCUGCUCAGAUAAGAUACCAGAUCAUAGACUCUUCCACAUUUAAGACCCACCCCUUUAAAUCUUGCCUGAAAAAUGGAGCUGUAGACAAGCUUAUAAGAAUCAAACUAUUAAGAAUGGCAGAUGGAUAUGAGUAGGAAUUUUCAGUCCCUACCAUCUUCUCAGAAAACUAUCAAGAAUUCUCUUGCUGAGGGAGCUCCAAGCACUUGCCGGAAGGUGAGCGUGGUCAGCCAGGUUUGUCCUUCAUGGCUCUGACUGGCCCCUCCUGCCACAGCUAGUGGCAAAGGGGGCUGACACAUGGUCCAGGCAGGUGAGUUCACCCAUCAGACUCUCCUGAAAAUUUAAGCAAAAGCACACAAGAUCAAAACCAUGCAACAACGGGCAUUUGACCCCAAAGGCAAGCAGGGUCAGAGUUUAUUCAUAUGUUUUACCUUGAUAUUCUCCAACCUCUCCAGUUUCCUGUUUCCUAAAAAGAAGGGCAAGAAUAUUCCCUGAUUAACACCACCCUUUUCUGGUUACUACCUCCACAUGCUCUCAGUACUAAAGCAUGCUCUUUAUGCUGUAUCUUUAAAUAUUUACCAGUAAGUAUUUAUCCAUAAAUGAUCAGAGUAUGUUGAAUCUAUUAGCUUUUAAGUACAUUCAGGGUAACACCAACAUGAAUUUCUCUGAAGAUAAUCAAUAAUACUAUCUUGGACAUGUUUAGGAGAUUUUGCUAGCAUUCUAAAACACUAAUCUGAACCAAUUGGUUAAUGACGAAGUGACCCUAGCAAAAUGAGAAAAAUUAGGACAAUGUCCUAAGUUUUCUCACAAUCAUGAAUGCAAUUUCAAGAAUUGCAUGUAAAUGUUGGACUGUGUUAUAUCAGCCAAAUGUCAAUUUUAAAAAUAAAAAAUAAACAAAUGUUGGACUAUGUAUAUACAGGUGGGACUGUGCCUUUCUUAUAUUUUUCUACUGAAAAAAAUGGAACAGUAGUAAUAAUGAUAAUAAAUUCUAGUCAAAUAAUUCUACCCUUAUUGGCAUAAAAGAAAACAGUCAGCUCCCAAAUUGAUUUUUUUUUAAGGUACUUAAUCUGUUAUAUCAAAAAGCCUAUGAACUAUUUGCUUAAACUCUGAUUUUCUUCAAAGUUAGUCAUACUUAGCUCCAGUUACUUGCCUUCAGGCACUUUCUUAAGCUUUGUUCACACUAACUGUAAUUUAAUGUAAUGCCUACACAUCUUUGUGAGAGUGUAAGGUUUGUUUGUGUCUCUUUCCCCAUUGCUUUUCUAUUUUCUAGAUAUUCUCAUUUCCAGAAUUUAUCAUAAGUCUGAAAAGAGGAUAUUGUUCACCUUCAGAUUUUGAAAUAUUCACCACUGACUGUUGUCCAGACUCAGCAUUUUUGUCCUCUCCACUCCAAGGCCUCCACAAGAAUCCCCAACCCUCAAAUAGAGGCUCGUUUUUACUUCUUAGGGAGCAAAGCCACAGCAGCCGCUGCCACGUUGCCCGGCCCCACUCUGCCUCUUUCUCUCCGUUCUCCUGGAGACAGAAGCCAACCUCUAGCUCCUGGACCAGGGAGACUUCAUUUAUGUCUUCUCUUCCACUGCAGUGCCUAUUAAACAAAGAAACCACAAAACCUGGGCAUCAAGAUUCUCCAAGACGCUGCCUUCUAGAGCCAUUCUCUGAAUAACGUUGGAGGACCUGCCUGUGAAUGAACAAGUUAUAGAGGCUUUAAUGUUUGUUCUAUUUUAUGAAUAUAAUUGGUCUCAUGAUAAAAUGCCAAUUUUAUGUACUUUUUUAUUUUUGAACAUUUUUAAAAAGCAUAUAUAUGAGAUAUAAUAGCAGAAAGACAUGUUAAUGUAAAA